rnacentral:rRNA from 1 species
AUUGAACGCUGGCGGCAUGCUUUACACAUGCAAGUCGAACGGCAGCGCGGGGGCAACCCUGGCGGCGAGUGGCGAACGGGUGAGUAAUGUAUCGGAACGUAUCCUGUAAUGGGGGAUAACCAGUCGAAAGAUUGGGUAAUACCGCAUACGCACGAGAGUGGAAAGUAGGGGAUCGCAAGACCUUACGUUAUAGGAGCGGCCGAUAUCUGAUUAGCUAGUUGGUGGGGUAAAGGCCUACCAAGGCGACGAUCAGUAGCUGGUCUGAGAGGACGACCAGCCACACUGGGACUGAGACACGGCCCAGACUCCUACGGGAGGCAGCAGUGGGGAAUUUUGGACAAUGGGCGAAAGCCUGAUCCAGCCAUGCCGCGUGCAGGAAGAAGGCCUCGGUUGUAACUGCUUAGUCUAGGAAAGGGUAGGCGAGGUUAAGUACCUACGUGCUUGUAUGGUACGUGGAAGGAAUAAGACACCGGCUAACUACGUGUCCAGCAGCCGCGGUAACGACGAGACG